rnacentral:rRNA from 1 species
CCUACGGGUGGCAGCAGUGAGGAAUAUUGGUCAAUGGGCGCGAGCCUGAACCAGCCAAGUAGCGUGAAGGAUGACUGCCCUACGGGUUGUAAACUUCUUUUACAAGGGAGUAAAGUGAGGCACGAGUGCCUUUUUUCAUGUACUUUAUGAGUAAGGAUCGGCUAACUUCGCUCCAGCAGCCGCGGUAAUACGGAGGAUCCGAGCGUUACCCGGAUUUAUGGGGAUGAAAGGGAACGUAGAGGGGUUGUUAAGUGAGUUGUGAAAGUUUGCGGCUCAACCGUAAAAUUGCAAUUGAUACUGGCAAGCUUGAGUACAGUUGAGGGAGGCAGAAUUCGAGGUGUAGCGGUGAAAUGCUUAGAGAUCACGAAGAACUCCGAUGGCGAAGGCGGCCUACUAAACUGCGACUGACAUUGAUGUUCGAAAGUGUGGGUAUCAAACAGGAUUAGAUACCCCAGUAGUC